rnacentral:rRNA from 1 species
UACAGAGGUCCCAAGCGUUGUUCGGAUUCACUGGGCGUAAAGGGUGCGUAGGCGGUCGGGUAAGUCUGAUGUGAAAUCUCACAGCUUAACUGUGAAACUGCAUUGGAUACUAUCCGGCUCGAGGAAUGGAGGGGAGACUGGAAUUCCUGGUGUAGCGGUGAAAUGCGCAGAUAUCAGGGGGAACACCGGUGGCGAAGGCGGGUCUCUGGGCCGAUACUGACGCUGAGGAGCGAAAGCGUGGGGAGCGAACAGG